UACGAAGGGUGCAAGCGUUACUCGGAAUUACUGGGCGUAAAGCGUGCGUAGGUGGUGAGUUAAGUCUGAUGUGAAAUCCCCAGGCUCAACCUGGGAAUGGCAUUGGAUACUGGCUCGCUAGAGUGCGGUAGAGGGUGGUGGAAUUCCCGGUGUAGCAGUGAAAUGCGUAGAUAUCGGGAGGAACACCUGUGGCGAAAGCGGCUCACUGGACCAUUACUGACGCUGAUGCACGAAAGCUAGGGGAGCAAACAGG
rnacentral:rRNA from 1 species